UUUCCGUAGGUGAACCUGCGGAAGGAUCAUUGUCGAAACCUGCCCAGCAGAACGACCCGCGAACUUGUAUAAACAACCGGGGGCGGGGGGCGUUCUCGCCCCGUGCCCCCGAACGGCGGGGAGACACUCGUGCCUUCUUGCCGAACAACGAACCCCGGCGCGGUCUGCGCCAAGGGGAUUCAACUAAAGAGGGCCUCCGGUCGCCUCGGAAACGGGGGGCGUGCCGGGGGCGAAUUUUGUGCAAAACCUUAACGACUCUCGGCAACGGAUAUCUCGGCUCUC
rnacentral:misc_RNA from 1 species